rfam:Morus notabilis contig45084, whole genome shotgun sequence.
CUGGAAUGAUGCAAUUUAGCCAAAUCAGACAUUGACGUGCUCCAAAAGGCACAAUAGUUCCUCAAAGCUCAGAAUAUCUUGUAUGAAAUUGAUCAAGCUUUGGAUAAUAGAUGCCUCUUGUAGAAGCGCAUCCGUCUGAUGAUAAACUAGAGAUUGGUCGUUUGCUGACCAGA